rnacentral:rRNA from 1 species
UGUCACUUAUAGAUGGAUCCGCGCUGCAUUAGCUAGUUGGUAAGGUAACGGCUUACCAAGGCAACGAUGCAUAGCCGACCUGAGAGGGUGAUCGGCCACACUGGAACUGAGACACGGUCCAGACUCCUACGGGAGGCAGCAGUAGGGAAUCUUCCGCAAUGGGCGAAAGCCUGACGGAGCAACGCCGCGUGAGUGAUGAAGGUCUUCGGAUCGUAAAACUCUGUUAUUAGGGAAGAACAUAUGUGUAAGUAACUGUGCACAUCUUGACGGUACCUAAUCAGAAAGCCACGGCUAACUACGUGCCAGCAGCCGCGGUAAUACGUAGGUGGCAAGCGUUAUCCGGAAUUAUUGGGCGUAAAGCGCGCGUAGGCGGUUUUUUAAGUCUGAUGUGAAAGCCCACGGCUCAACCGUGGAGGGUCAUUGGAAACUGGAAAACUUGAGUGCAGAAGAGGAAAGUGGAAUUCCAUGUGUAGCGGUGAAAUGCGCAGAGAUAUGGAGGAACACCAGUGGCGAAGGCGACUUUCUGGUCUGUAACUGACGCUGAUGUGCGAAAGCGUGGGGAUCAAACAGGAUUAGAUACCCUGGUAGUCCACGCCGUAAACGA